GCCCGUAUGGCCAAGUGGUAAGGCACUGCACUUGUAAGCUUGUGCUCGUUUUAGAACGCAUUCCUGACAUGCAGCGAUCCCCUGUUCGACCCGGGGUGCGGGCA